CGGGGCGUAGCGCAGCCAGGUAGCGCACUUGUAUGGGGUACAAGUGGUCGGAGGUUCAAAUCCUCUCGCCCCGACCA
rnacentral:tRNA from 2 species